CCAACCACGAUAUGGGCAUCGACAGGUGG
rnacentral:sRNA from 1 species